GACUCUGAGAGGUGGAUCCCUCGGCUCGUGCAUCAAUGAAGAACGCAGCUAGCUGUGAGAACUAAUGUAAAUUGCAGGAUACAUUGAUCAUCGACACUUCAAACCCACUUUGCAGCACCGAGUUACUCUCGGGGCUAUGCCUGUCUGAGGGUCG